AGCCCCUUAGCCAAGUGGUAAGGCAUCGGUCUUUGAAGCCGACAUCCCACGUUCAAUUCGUGGAGGGGUUGCCA
rnacentral:tRNA from 1 species